GUCAGUCUGCCUAAGGAAGAAAUAUGCACCGGUUUCUUUCUUUUGUUUGGGUUUCAGAAAAAUUAAUAUAGUCGUUAAAAUAAUCAUUUAUUCAUACACUGGGGUUUUGUGGACCCCCACCCCUCAACCUAUUAACGUCGACAUCUUCUUUUGUAUAUCCUCCAAAAUGUCUACAGGAAAGAAAAUCAACAACACAAGUUUCUACCAAUGAUUGGAAUGACCUUGCCUUUUCCAUCUGAAAGCACGCACACACACACACAAAAUGAAAAGAUAAUAACUUGAAUUCUGGAAGUCUGGAAAACCUAAAUUAACAGAGCGACUCCAUAGUCAAACAACUGCAUUUUCCUAACAGAAAACAAAGAGAAUUCUGAAGGCGAAUCUGCAGGGAAAACAGACCCUCAUCUCAGCUUUCAGGGCAGAUCAAAGCCGGCUGCUUACUCCGCAUCCUGAGAACACACUCCCCGGUCCUGACGCAGCCAAAAUCCUGUGACUAAAAGCAACUUAAAUUUGGACGAUUAAAAAAAAAUAAGUUUCCCAAGUUUACAUUAAUCAUUCGGUGUAUCCGGAGACUCCAGGCCUAGCAAACCACGCAACAACUUCUUAAAAUAUCAGUCUCAAAAAAUACCACUAAAAGAAAAACCAAAAUUGCUGCAAGUUGCAAGCCUGCUACUCCAAGGAUCUGCCACGUGGAGAAGCCCCAAGCCGAAGGCUGCCUCUCUCAGGUCUGGGCUGAAUACACCAUUGC